rnacentral:rRNA from 1 species
UAGGGAAUCUUCGGCAAUGGGGGGAACCCUGACCGAGCAACGCCGCGUGAGUGAAGAAGGUUUUCGGAUCGUAAAGCUCUGUUGUUAAGGAAGAACGAGUGUGAGAAUGGAAAGUUCAUGCUGUGACGGUACUUAACCAGAAAGGGACGGCUAACUACGUGCCAGCAGCCGCGGUAAUACGUAGGUACCGAGCGUUGUCCGGAUUUAUUGGGCGUAAAGCGAGCGCAGGCGGUUAGAAAAGUCUGAAGUGAAAGGCAGUGGCUCAACCAUUGUAGGCUUUGGAAACUGUUUAACUUGGGUGCAGAAGGGGAGAGUGGAAUUCCAGGUGUAGCGGUGAAAUGCGUAGAUAUAUGGAGGCGCACCGGUGGCGAAAGCGGCUCUCUGGUCUGUAACUGACGCUGAGGCUCGAAAGCGUGGGGAGCGAACAGG